CUUCGCCAUUGUUUGUUGCCCAUAGCAACGGAGAAGGAGGACGCCAUUCAUUCGCAGCUCGACUUCAACUGGGUUACAGGUUCAACGUUUUGCACACAUAGAAAAUAAGGUUAAAGAAAACAGUAUGGUGGAGGGAUUCCACCGUUUCCUGCCGAAAGCAUUCGACGAUAACGCAAGGGUUGCGCAUAGGGAAAAAGUCGACCUCAGGAUGCAGGUCUGCCGUUCAACUGCUUGUCUUCUGAAAAACGCCUCAAGGGGGUGCUCUCUGCUCAAGGGGAAAAAGAGGCUGUUACAAUGGAAAUAUCUGGAAUCAUAAAAAUCUGUCAACCUUCCUAAAAUCAUGAAACCAUGAAGUCGCAUUUUUUGU